GUCAUGACGAGGCUUUCCACAGAAGUUGUCGCAAGGCCGAAACUUGCGUCCGAAGGCUUUCCAAAUCGGGAAGUAGAAGAUGAUGAGGCUCCCCACUGGAGGCACAAAUAUAACAAGUCCCGCGCAGGCGUACCACAGCUCGGGCCGGGUUUAUCGUCGUCCUCUCCCCUGCUGCCGCCACCGUCAAUCACCACAAGAGUCAAGUUAAACUCAGCUACCACUGGCCUGUUGCUCAAAGAAAGCAACUACCGAGAGCAGAGCCGAGGAGGGAGUGGGGAUCCCUGCAAGGGGAGCUGAGCUGAGCUGAGCUGAGAGGGUUGCGGGCACUCGAAGGGUUCGCCUCCCGACUAGGGAGAAGAAGAAGAAGACUAGGGAGAAGAAGAAGAAGAAGAAGACGAGAUCGAGAGAGAAAUUUAGAGUACAGGAACUUUUCUGAAACUCCUGCGCACAGGGGCCGACGGGUAAACGAACGAGAGCAACGUACGUUGAAGCAGUGGUGUAAAAGAAAGAGAGAUGAUGCCCAUCCUCUUAUGAAGAUUCCUCUUUCUUACUAAAGAAAGUAAUUGAAGCCACUGAGAAUUUCGAUCAGAGACAUGAAAUUGGUAGAGGAGCUCAUAGGAUAGUUUACAAGGUAUCUCUUGACACAAGGAAAAUAUAUGUUGUAAAAAAGAUUGGUUUUCCAAGUCAGAAAUGAUCAUAUCCGAGCUUGAUAAGAGAAAUCCAAACUAUUGGGAAAAUCAAGCAUAGAAAUUUAAUGAAACUGAAUAAAUUAUGAUUUGAAUGUAAAUAUGAACUUUUAUUGGAUCAGUAUAUGGCAAAUGACAGUCUCCAUGAUGUUCUUCAUGAGAUUAAAUCUGCACCAGUCUUGGAUGGAAGGUGAGGUACAAGAUAGCUUUUGGCAUUGUCCAAGGGCUAGAUUAUCUUCACAACGGCUACAGCCCUGCGAUCAUACACCGUGACAUAAAGUCGAAAAACAUAAAGGUACAAGAUAACUUUUGACAUUGUUCAAGGGCUAGGUUCUCUUCAGAACGGCUAUAGUCUUGCAAUCAUCCACACCCUUGGGCAAUGUUGUAACCGUUGUGAAAAUAAUCUAGUCCUUGGGCAAUGUCAAAAGUUAUCUUGUACCUUUAUGUUUUUCGGCUUUAUGUCACGGUGUAUGAUCGCAGGGCUGUAGUCGUUGUGAAGAUAAUCUAGUCCUUGGGCAAUGUCAAAAAUUAUCUUGUAUCUCACCUUCCACUACAAGACUGGUGCAGGCUUAAUCUCAUGAAGAACAUCGUGAAGGCUGUCAUUUGUCAUAUAUUGAUCCAAUAAAAGUCCAUAUUUACAUUAAAACCAUAAUUUAUUCAAUUUUAUUAAAUUUCUAUGUCUGAUUUUCCCAAUAGUUUGGAUUUCUCUUAUCAAGCUUGGAUAUGAUCGUUUCUGACUUGGAAAAGUAAUCUUUUUUACAGCAUAUAUUUUUUUAAGUCAAGGGAUGUCUUGUAAACUAUUAAUGUAGAGUCUCCUGUUUAACAAGAGAUGCAGAGUCAAGGAUUUCCUAUAAAUGAACUUGGCAUUGAUUCUACAAACUUAAGCAAACCUCUUAGCAAUGAACCACUAAAGUCAUUGUACGAAGCAUUGAUAAACGUUAAUGAACUGAGAUCAGCCAAGGGCAUCAAACUUCUUGUUAGAUUGUUCUAAGAAAUAUCCAAGCUCUGUAGCAUAUUCAAAUUAUUCAACUCAAAUGAAAGUUCUACUAGUCCAUUAUCACUGAAGUUUAAGGCUGUAUUCAAGUUUUGCAAUGAGCCCAAUGAUGGCGGGAUGCUAUAUCACAAUUUGUUUCCUCUAAACUGCAAUUGAAUCAGUUGAUUUAACUUGGAUAGGAAAUUCAGAAUUUCUCCUCUAAAUUGAUUCUCUUGCAGUAUCAAAUGAGAGAGUAGAUAAGUUUGCAAGCCAAAUUGAUUCUCUUGCAGUAUCA